AGUGAACGCUGGCGGUAGGCCUAACACAUGCAAGUCGAACGGCAGCACAGUAAGAGCUUGCUCUUACGGGUGGCGAGUGGCGGACGGGUGAGGAAUACAUCGGAAUCUACUUUUUCGUGGGGGAUAACGUAGGGAAACUUACGCUAAUACCGCAUACGACCUACGGGUGAAAGCAGGGGAUCUUCGGACCUUGCGCGAUUGAAUGAGCCUAUGUCGGAUUAGCUAGUUGGCGGGGUAAAGGCCCAACAAGGCGACGAUCCGUAGCUGGUCUGAGAGGAUGAUCAGCCACACUGGAACUGAGACACGGUCCAGACUCCUACGGGAGGCAGCAGUGGGGAAUAUUGGACAAUGGGCGCAAGCCUGAUCCAGCCCUACCGCGUGGGUGAAGAAGGCCUUCGGGUUGUAAAGCCCUUUUGUUGGGAAAGAAAAGCAGCAGGUUAAUACCCCGCUGUUCUGACGGUACCCAAAGAAUAAGCACCGGCUAACUUCGUG
rnacentral:rRNA from 1 species